rnacentral:misc_RNA from 1 species
GACUGAGAAUGAUGGGUAAUUGAGUUCACCAGGAUCACUAAAUGCUUUAGAACAGGGAUUAGAGUUUUCAUUGGUAAUUGCCUGGAUAAUUUUGAGAGGAUAAUUCAAUGAACACAAAAAUUUUAUGUAAUCUUCUGUGGAGAUAUCAUAAACCAGGCCUGGAGAAAGAGCUUUCUUUGGAUCCACAUGACCAGAACCAUAUGCCCAUGGAUUUGAAGAUAUACCAGUUGCGGCAUCCCGUAUAAGAGAGUUGGUGUUGUCGACAGUGUAGGCUGUGGUCAUGAGAGCUGAUUUAAUAGCACUUAAACUCCAAGUUGGAUGUGCAGCUUUGAGCAACGCAACUAUUCCACUUGCAUGUGGGCAUGCCAUGGAUGUCCCUGAAAUAAUGUUGAACUUUGUCCUCCUGUAAUCCUCCUUCAAGCCUGAUGGACUUGUGGCCUCAGACCAUGCAGCUAGGAUGUUAACUCCAGGAGCUAUAAUAUCCGGCUUCAAGAUCUGUGGUGUCACCGGAUUUGGUCCUCGACAACUAAAUUCAGCCACCAUCGGUGACGGCUGUACAUUUACUUCCGUUCUACCAAACCCAAGUAAGACCUUUGGCUUAGGAUCUGUCUUCUCAUAUUUUUUAAUUAAAUCACCCACUUUGGUACCUACUGCCACUGUCGGCACCAAAUCUUGUCCAACAGACAAUUCCUUCAGAGCUAUUUCGUUCACUAUUAUCAUCCCAACCCCUCCAGCCUUGCUCACUAUUAGACCUUUCUCUACAGAUCCCAAGUCUCCUACAUCACAGAUCACCACCUUCCCACGAACCAAAUCUGGUUCAAGUGUACCCUCCAAGCAAUAUUUACUGGAACUAUUCUUUCCCCUAUGGUAGACUAACCCCACCAGCUUCUUCCCCAUUCUUGGUCCAUCAUAGAUAGACAUACCUCUGUAUAGAUGUUUGUUGCCAAGCAAAAUAUAAGCCCGAAAGUCCCUGUCUAUACUCCCAGCACCGACUGUCAAAAUCCAUGGAGCCACGUUUCCGAUAAUGGUUCUUAUAGGUCCAGAGUUACCACCCGCACAAGAGACGACAAUGCCACGCUUCAUUGCAUUAAACGCACCAAGAGCGGCCGUGUCCUCAUGAUAUGGAAUGGCCACAGAGUCAUUUCCAAAUGACAUAGAGAUGACAUCCACACCAUCUAAAAUGGCUCUAUCCAUUGCUGCCAAAGUAUCAGCAUCGCCACAACCUUUGCUCCCGCAGGCCUUAUAGAUUGCGACCCGGGCACAUACAGCCAUUCCCCGGGCGGUGCCCCUCGCAUAACGGCCGAACACACUCACAUUCGCUACAGGCGACCCUGCGGCUGUGGAAGCAGUGUGCGUUCCAUGCCCAUUAUAGUCCCGAGGUGAGAGAACCUCCGCACCAGGAAAUUAUUUCUCGUGUUCUUUUAAGAAAUAACGUGCUCCAAUUAACUUCUUAUUGCACAGUUUGGGAUUGAAAUUCUUAGCAGAUACGCACUUUCCCUUCCAUCGUUUUGGUAUCUCAGGCAAUCCUGUGUCGUCAAAACUUCUAGACUCUGGCCACACGCCACUAUCAAUAACUCCGAUAAUGACAUUGUGAGCAGCUUGCUCGAUUUCUUGAAAUUGACGACCAUCACCCAAGCCGAAGUUGGAAUCGAUACCAAGAAAUUCUGGGGUGCGGGUGGUUUUGAGGGAAUUCAUUCUACUUUCAAAAACAUUAAGGACAGCAUCUAUGUUCCCAAGAGAGUCGGCUUCUUCAGGGUCGAGAUAGGCAGCGAAGCCAUGGAAUGCUGCGUUGUAGGUGUAGAGGAUGGAAUCAGAGGUGGAGGUGAGUGAUUGAUACCAAUCACGGUGAGUGGCAUGUGUGUGAGGCUUGGAGUUGUGAUUCAUAUGGACUAAGUAAGUUUUCUUGGCAGCGGCUGAGAGCAAUGAGAGGGCUGAGAGGAGGACCAGAGGAAGCAACCAAAGUUUUCCCAUGGAGCCCAUUGUUAGAAAAUGGUUUGAUACAUGAAGCAAGCAAGCAAGCUUCACCUUAUAUUUGUAAAGAAGGCUUGUAAUGAAUAGUUGUAAACUUGGAGGACAAAUCAAG